CCUUCUUAAGCGCAGUAGGCAGCGCAUCAGUCUCAUAAUCUGAAGGUUCUGAGUUCGAGCCUCAGAAAGAGUG
rnacentral:tRNA from 1 species